CUAGUGGCGCACGGGUGCGUAACGCGUGGGAAUCUGCCCUUGGGUUCGGAAUAACAGUGAGAAAUUACUGCUAAUACCGAAUGAUGACGUAAGUCCAAAGAUUUAUCGCCCAGGGAUGAGCCCGCGUAGGAUUAGCUAGUUGGUGAGGUAAAAGCUCACCAAGGCGACGAUCCUUAGCUGGUCUGAGAGGAUGAUCAGCCACACUGGGACUGAGACACGGCCCAGACUCCUACGGGAGGCAGCAGUGGGGAAUAUUGGACAAUGGGCGAAAGCCUGAUCCAGCAAUGCCGCGUGAGUGAUGAAGGCCUUAGGGUUGUAAAGCUCUUUUACCCGGGAUGAUAAUGACAGUACCGGGAGAAUAAGCUCCGGCUAACUCCGUGCCAGCAGCCGCGGUAAUACGGAGGGAGCUAGCGUUAUUCGGAAUUACUGGGCGUAAAGCGCACGUAGGCGGCUUUGUAAGUUAGAGGUGAAAGCCUGGAGCUCAACUCCAGAACUGCCUUUAAGACUGCAUCGCUUGAAUCCAGGAGAGGUGAGUGGAAUUCCGAGUGUAGAGGUGAAAUUCGUAGAUAUUCGGAAGAACACCAGUGGCGAAGGCGGCUCACUGGACUGGUAUUGACGCUGAGGUGCG
rnacentral:rRNA from 1 species